GUUAAGCGACUAAGCGUACACGGUGGAUGCCCUGGCAGUCAGAGGCGAUGAAGGACGUGCUAAUCUGCGAAAAGCGUCGGUAAGGUGAUAUGAACCGUUACAGCCGGCGAUGUCCGAAUGGGGAAACCCAGUGUGAUUCGUCACACUAUCGUUAACUGAAUACAUAGGUUAACGAGGCGAACCGGGGGAACUGAAACAUCUAAGUACCCCGAGGAAAAGAAAUCAACCGAGAUUCCCCCAGUAGCGGCGAGCGAACGGGGAGCAGCCCAGAGUCUGAAUCAGCUUGUGUGUUAGUGGAACGGUCUGGAAAGUCCGACGGUACAGGGUGAUAGUCCCGUACACCAAAAUGCACAGGCUGUGAACUCGAAGAGUAGGGCGGGACACGUGGUAUCCUGUCUGAAUAUGGGGGGACCAUCCUCCAAGGCUAAAUACUCCUGACUGACCGAUAGUGAACCAGUACCGUGAGGGAAAGGCGAAAAGAACCCCGGCGAGGGGAGUGAAAAAGAACCUGAAACCGUGUACGUACAAGCAGUGGGAGCACCUUCGGGUGUGACUGCGUACCUUUUGUAUAAUGGGUCAGCGACUUAUAUUCUGUAGCAAGGUUAACCGUAUAGGGGAGCCGCAGGGAAACCGAGUCUUAACUGGGCGUUAAGUUGCAGGGUAUAGACCCGAAACCCGGUGAUCUAGCCAUGGGCAGGUUGAAGGUUGGGUAACACUAACUGGAGGACCGAACCGACUAAUGUUGAAAAAUUAGCGGAUGACUUGUGGCUGGGGGUGAAAGGCCAAUCAAACCGGGAGAUAGCUGGUUCUCCCCGAAAGCUAUUUAGGUAGCGCCUCGUGAAUUCAUCUUCGGGGUAGAGCACUGUUUCGGCUAGGGGGUCAUCCCGACUUACCAACCCGAUGCAAACUACGAAUACCGAAGAAUGUUAUCACGGGAGACACACGGCGGGUGCUAACGUCCGUCGUGAAGAGGGAAACAACCCAGACCGCCAGCUAAGGUCCCAAAGUCACAGUUAAGUGGGAAACGAUGUGGGAAGGCACAGACAGCCAGGAUGUUGGCUUAGAAGCAGCCAUCAUUUAAAGAAAGCGUAAUAGCUCACUGGUCGAGUCGGCCUGCGCGGAAGAUGUAACGGGGCUAAACUGUGCACCGAAGCUGCGGCAGCGACACUAUGUGUUGUUGGGUAGGGGAGCGUUCUGUAAGCCUGCGAAGGUGGCCUGUGAGGGUUGCUGGAGGUAUCAGAAGUGCGAAUGCUGACAUAAGUAACGAUAAUGCGGGUGAAAAGCCCGCACGCCGGAAGACCAAGGGUUCCUGUCCAACGUUAAUCGGGGCAGGGUGAGUCGACCCCUAAGGCGAGGCCGAAAGGCGUAGUCGAUGGGAAACAGGUUAAUAUUCCUGUACUUGGUGUUACUGCGAAGGGGGGACGGAGAAGGCUAUGUUAGCCGGGCGACGGUUGUCCCGGUUUAAGCAUGUAGGCGGAGGUUCCAGGUAAAUCCGGUACCUUUUUAACGCUGAGGUGUGAUGACGAGGCACUACGGUGCUGAAGUAACAAAUGCCCUGCUUCCAGGAAAAGCCUCUAAGCAUCAGGUAACAUUGAAUCGUACCCCAAACCGACACAGGUGGUCAGGUAGAGAAUACCAAGGCGCUUGAGAGAACUCGGGUGAAGGAACUAGGCAAAAUGGUGCCGUAACUUCGGGAGAAGGCACGCUGAUAUGUAGGUGAAGCCCCUGCGGGUGGAGCUGAAAUCAGUCGAAGAUACCAGCUGGCUGCAACUGUUUAUUAAAAACACAGCACUGUGCAAACACGAAAGUGGACGUAUACGGUGUGACGCCUGCCCGGUGCCGGAAGGUUAAUUGAUGGGGUUAUCCGUAAGGAGAAGCUCUUGAUCGAAGCCCCGGUAAACGGCGGCCGUAACUAUAACGGUCCUAAGGUAGCGAAAUUCCUUGUCGGGUAAGUUCCGACCUGCACGAAUGGCGUAAUGAUGGCCAGGCUGUCUCCACCCGAGACUCAGUGAAAUUGAACUCGCUGUGAAGAUGCAGUGUACCCGCGGCAAGACGGAAAGACCCCGUGAACCUUUACUAUAGCUUGACACUGAACAUUGAGCCUUGAUGUGUAGGAUAGGUGGGAGGCUUUGAAGCGUGGACGCCAGUCUGCGUGGAGCCAACCUUGAAAUACCACCCUUUAAUGUUUGAUGUUCUAACGUUGGCCCCUUAUCGGGGUUGCGGACAGUGUCUGGUGGGUAGUUUGACUGGGGCGGUCUCCUCCCAAAGAGUAACGGAGGAGCACGAAGGUUAGCUAAUCCUGGUCGGACAUCAGGAGGUUAGUGCAAUGGCAUAAGCUAGCUUGACUGCGAGCGUGACGGCGCGAGCAGGUGCGAAAGCAGGUCAUAGUGAUCCGGUGGUUCUGAAUGGAAGGGCCAUCGCUCAACGGAUAAAAGGUACUCCGGGGAUAACAGGCUGAUACCGCCCAAGAGUUCAUAUCGACGGCGGUGUUUGGCACCUCGAUGUCGGCUCAUCACAUCCUGGGGCUGAAGUAGGUCCCAAGGGUAUGGCUGUUCGCCAUUUAAAGUGGUACGCGAGCUGGGUUUAGAACGUCGUGAGACAGUUCGGUCCCUAUCUGCCGUGGGCGCUGGAGAAUUGAGGGGGGCUGCUCCUAGUACGAGAGGACCGGAGUGGACGCAUCACUGGUGUUCGGGUUGUCAUGCCAAUGGCAUUGCCCGGUAGCUAAAUGCGGAAGAGAUAAGUGCUGAAAGCAUCUAAGCACGAAACUUGCCCCGAGAUGAGUUCUCCCUGAGACUUUAAGUCUCCUGAAGGAACGUUAAAGACGAUGACGUUGAUAGGUCGGGUGUGUAAGCGUAGCGAUACGUUGAGCUAACCGAUACUAAUGAACCGUGAGGCUUAACC
rnacentral:rRNA from 1 species